ncrna:unclassified sequences CyVA-1 RNA
GAUGCGGUACAGGUUUUUGCCGUUUCUCCUGUUUCAGACUCGUCCGAAGCGGAACGGCGUCAAGACGGGUCACGCAUC